AUUGAACGCUGGCGGCAUGCCUUACACAUGCAAGUCGAACGGCAGCGGGGACUUCGGUCCGCCGGCGAGUGGCGAACGGGUGAGUAAUGUAUCGGAACGUACCAUUGAGUGGGGGAUAACGUAGCGAAAGUUACGCUAAUACCGCAUAUUCUCUCCGGAGGAAAGCAGGGGACCGCAAGGCCUUGCGCUCUUUGAGCGGCCGAUAUCAGAUUAGCUAGUUGGUGAGGUAAAAGCUCACCAAGGCGACGAUCUGUAGCGGGUCUGAGAGGAUGAUCCGCCACACUGGAACUGAGACACGGUCCAGACUCCUACGGGAGGCAGCAGUGGGGAAUUUUGGACAAUGGGGGCGACCCUGAUCCAGCCAUGCCGCGUGAGUGAAGAAGGCCUUCGGGUUGUAAAGCUCUUUCGGCCGGGAAAAAAUCGCAUGGGUUAAUACCCUGUGUGGAUGAUGGUACCGGAAUAAGAAGCACCGGCUAACUACGUGCCAGCAGCCGCCGCCG
rnacentral:rRNA from 1 species